AUGAAAAAAUGUACUGCUUUACUAAAAAGAGAUCAACACAUUGAUGUUGCUAUGCAAGUUAACAGUGAAGCUUCGAAGGUUGCAUAUUUUACUCGACUAAAUGCAUCAAUUGACACAGCUAGGCUACUGUUGAAGCAAGGGUUGCCUUUCCGCGGCCAUGAUGAGUCAAAGAACUCGCAUAAUAAAGGGAAUUUCUUGGAAGUUCGUGACUUCUUAGCUGAGCAUGAUCCAGUUGUUGGCAAGGCUAUGGGAAAAGAUGCUGCACAAAAUGCUCUUAUGGUUGCUCCUCAAGUCCAGAAAGAUAUUUCUGAAGGUUUUGCGCAUGUGAUAGUCCAAUCUAUUCUCAAAGAAGUUCACAAUAAUGUGUUUUGCUUGCUUGUCGAUGAGUCUAGAGAUGUCUCUUGCAAAGAACAAAUGGAUGUGGCCUUGAGGUAUGUUGAUAGUUCUGGAGAUUCUAAAGAAAGCUUUGUUGGUCUUGUUCAUGUGAAAGAAACAACUUCUUCCUACCUCAAGAGUUCAAUUGAUUCUCUUUUUGCAAAAUAUAAGCUGAGCUACAAUCAAGUUAGAGGACAAGGAUAUGACGGUGCUAGUAACAUGCGAGGUGAGUUCAAUGGUUUCAAAUCAUUGAUCAUGAGAGAAAGUAGCACAGCUUAUUAUGUUCAUUGCUUUGCUCACCAACUUCAGUUAGUUGUUGUGGCUAUUGUAAGAAAGCAUAAAGGAGUUAGUAAUUUCUUCAGUAUGAUUUCUACCUUGUUAAAUGUUGUGGGUGAUUCUUCCAAGCGAAGGGACAUGAUUAGAGAUAUAAAUCUUGAAGAAAUGAGUAGGGCUUUAGGGUGUGGGCAGCUUACAACGGGAACAGGUUUAAAUCAAGAGCAAUGCCUUCAAAGACCCGGAGACACUCAUUGGGGUUCACAUGCUAAAACACUUAAGAGUUUGGUUGCCAUGUUCAGGUCAGUUAUUAAAGUUCUUGAAUUUGUUGAAGAAGAAGACACCGACAGAACAAAUAGAGACCAAGCAAUUGGUCUUCUAAUGUACUUUCAAUCUUUUGAUUUUGUCUUCUAUUUGCAUCUCAUGUUGACAAUCCUCACUACUACCAACACAUUAUCAUUAGCAUUGCAGCGGAAGGAUCAAGACAUAGUGAAUGCCAUGAAAUGUGUCAAGUCAACUAGAACAGUUUUGAAUGAACUUAGAGAAAAUGGAUGGGACUCUUUGGUAGGUGAAGUUCAUGUGUUUUGUGAGAAACAUGAUAUUAUAGAAUUUGACAUGGAAGAAGCAUAUGUGAAUCCAAAAAAGAGAAGGCAGAUAACUGGAAUUACCAACAAACAUCACUAUCAAGUUGAUUGCUUCAAUGAUGUUUUUGAUUGGCUAGUUCAAGAGCUUGACAAUAGGUUCAGUGAGACAUCCUCUAACUUGCUUGUUUGGUCAGCAGCUUUGAGUCCAAGAGACUCAUUUCGUGAUUUCAAUUUGGAGAAUCUUAUGAGUUUGGCUAACUUAUACCCUUAG
rnacentral:rRNA from 1 species